UAGGGAAUCUUCCGCAAUGGACGCAAGUCUGACGGAGCAACGCCGCGUGAGUGAAGAAGGAUUUCGGUUCGUAAAACUCUGUUGUUAGAGAAGAACAGCGCAUAGAGUAACUGUUAUGCGUGUGACGGUAUCUAACCAGAAAGCCAUGGCUAACUACGUGCCAGCAGCCGCGGUAAUACGUAGGUGGCAAGCGUUGUCCGGAUUUAUUGGGCGUAAAGCGAGCGCAGGCGGUCAAUUAAGUCUGAUGUGAAAGCCCCCGGCUCAACCGGGGAGGGUCAGUGGAAACUGGUUGGAUUGAGUGAAGAAGAGGAGAGUGGAAUUCCAUGUGUAGCGGUGAAAUGCGUAGAUAUAUGGAGGAACACCAGUGGCGAAGGCGACUCUCUGGUCUGUAACUGACGCUGAGGCUCGAAAGCGUGGGUAGCAAACAGG
rnacentral:rRNA from 1 species